rnacentral:rRNA from 1 species
GUGAGGAAUAUUGCGCAAUGGAGGCAACUCUGACGCAGCCAUGCCGCGUGCAGGAAGAAGGCGCUACGCGUUGUAAACUGCUUUUAACCGGGAAGAAACCCCAGGACGUGUCCUGGGUUGACGGUACCGGAGGAAUAAGCACCGGCUAACUUCGUGCCAGCAGCCGCGGUAAUACGAAGGGAGCAAGCGUUAUCCGGAUUCAUUGGGGUUAAAGGGUGCGUAGGCGGAGAGUUAAGUCAGUGGUGAAAUCCUGCAGCUUAACUGUAGACUUGCCAUUGAUACUGGCGCUCUUGAGUGCGCUUGAAGUGGGCGGAAUGUGCCGUGUAGCGGUGAAAUGCUUAGAUAUGGCACAGAACACCAAUUGCGAAGGCAGCUCACUAAGGCGAUACUGACGCUGAGGCACGAAAGCGUGGGGAUCGAACAGGAUUAGAUACCCUAGUAGUCC